CUUUGGUCCUUAUAAGCGGCCUUGCCACUAUAUCAAGGUUCUAAACAAAACUAGGCACUGGUCGGGUGGUGGGUUGGGGUUUAGCACAUAGGCAGCUAGGCAGGGUUUAGGCGGAUUUAAGUAAAAUCCAUUAUAUAUCGUAUAAAUAAGUGCAUUCUUAUAAUUAAAAAAAAUAGAUAAUUGCAUUGAGAUACAUAAAUUGCAAA
rnacentral:lncRNA from 1 species